UCAAGUAUAAAGAAAAUCAAAGGAAAGAGAGGUCUUACAUGAAGACAAAGAGCCAUAGUCUGGUAGCCAAGGAUGACUUGCCUGUAUCCUCUCAAAGCGUUUGAUCAACACAUUAUAGCUUAUGUAGUUUGCAGCCCUUCUCUAGCUGUAACUUGAAAAACAGAAGCCCUAGGUUUAGAAAACCUUGUUUGGUUCACAGGCGGUCACCUUGGCUAACCUGACAGGCUCUUGUCUUUCAUGCUCGACCUUAUCAUCUUCCCGGUGUAUGAGUAACUGCACCAUGCUUUCUACCUUGAUGAGCUUCUGAAAGAAACACGCAUGGAAGAUUGCAUCUACAAUGAUUGGAGAAAGCAGAUUUUAUUUCUUCUACAACAAAUUCAGCUUCGAAGAAGGAGAUUUUCCAAUCACACUUUGAAGGGAUCAAGGCAUUCGCGAAGUGUUGUUGAUCUAUCAGCAAUCCUUCUACAAGGUUCGAGACAUAAGUUUGAAGUCGAGAGCUAUUGGACGGGAAGUCGCAAAGCUAUGGGUGUUCAGCGGAUUAAGUCUGUAAUGACCCGGUCAUUUCAUUCCUUUUUCUUUUUCAUGAGAAUUUUACGGAUUAAUUUUUUUUCGUUAAAAUUUCUUUUCUUAGUUCAGUUUCUCUUUAUUUAGUGUCGUCUUGAGUGCUCGAAAAUGGUUUCUGAGACUCUUUUCUUUGGAUUGACAACUUCCUUUAAGGACCAAGUCAUUUCCACAUUUUUUUUGUUUUUCGACACUAUUCACUUUUCGUCAUUUUCCCUAUUUUGUCUUUUCCCCGUUUGUCACAUUCUUCCAUUCAUUUUUCAAUCUUUAUUCUUGUUACCAUCAUUGGGGCCUAGCAUAUGAUUUUCUGCACUUUUAUCUCAAAAUUAAGCAUUUGGUGCCAGUUCGAUCGAUCACAAGUGUCCAUUCGAUCGAUCGAACCUCUCUGCAAUCACUCUGCAGAAAUUAGCUCUAUGUGUAUCGUGCGAACUUUAUUCCAGAUCGAUUCAAUUAUUUCUCGAUUGAUCUAGUUAUCCCUUCGAUCGAUCUCAGUUCUAUACUAAAAUUUUUUUUUAAUCUUUGCAUAUUUCAGAUCUCUGUGUAUCGUUCGAAGUUGUCUAUAGGUUUUCAGAUUUUGGAUCGAUCGAGUUUCGAUCGAUCAUCCUUAGAUCGAUCACAGCUUUGCCCCUUUGACUUUUUGACUUUUUCUUCUUUCUAUUUUUAUUUUAUUUUAUUUUUCAUUUUCUUUUAAUUUUUUAUUUUAUUUUAUUUACUUACUUUUCUCUUUUGAAAAAAAAAAAAAAAAAUCUUUGCAUUCUUUAUUUCCUUGCAUUUUUACUUCUUGCAUUUUUAUUUACUUACCUUUUUAUCUUUGUUUGUGUACAUAUUUGUUUUCUCUUAAAAAAAAUAAUUAAAAAAAAAAAAAAACACCAAAGAAAAAAAAGACGAUUUUUCAAAGCAGCAUUCUGUCUUACUAGAAACGUUGAACUUAACACCCACAUAACACAUUAUGUCGUUUAUCUCUUGUAUCAUACAUGUUCAUGUUCAUUCUUAUUUCUUUAUUUUUCUUACAUUUUGUUUCAUUGUACAUACUUUCAUUAAAAAAAAAUUAAAAAAAAAAAUUUGCAUUCUUUAUUUCAUUGUAUUUUUAUUUAUUGCAUUUUAUUGUGUGUGUGUACAUACUUGUUAUGUUAAAAAAAAAAAAAAAAAAAAAAAGUUUUUAUUUUAAUUUUCAUUUUUUUUUUGUUCUUUUUUGUUUUCAUUUCUUGCAUUGUACAUAUUCUUUCAUUACAUUUUGCCUUCUUUAUUUUUCUUUUUGCAUUUUGUUCAUGCAUUUUAUUCUUUGUUUUUCUUGCAUUUUGUAUAUAACUAAUUUCAUAAAAUGAAAAAUACAAAAAUUUGUUUCAUCAUUAUGCCCUUGUGUGCCUUCAUGCUUUCAUGUUUAGUGUAGGGCUUGCUCUCUUAUCUCUACCAUCUUAUACUAUAUUGCCUUGGAAAUUUGUUUCAUCAUUAUGCCCUUGUGUGCCUUCAUGCUUUCAUGUUUAGUGUAGGGCUUGCUCUCUUAUCUCUACCAUCUUAUACUAUAUUGCCUUGGAAUGCAUAAUUUGAGUAAUCUUUUCCCAUUUGAUAUUUGAUGUGAGUUUUAGAAUGUGGUUAUUCAAGUAGGUUAUUGAUUCCAAGUUUGAGGGAGAUGUCUUUCGAAUUGGAUUAUUACCGGGCUUCAUGCUUUUGACACUACGGUAUACUCUUUCUAUCUUUUCCAUUGUUCUCAUUGCACAUUAAGGACAAUGGGCGGUUUAAGUUUGGGGGUAAGGUGGCUUUGUUACAUUCUACUUAAAGUUGAACUUUAAAUGCAUGAUUGAGAUUUGAGAUCCAUGUUAGCUAUGAUUUUGAUCUUUUGAGGACUAUAUUGCUUAGAAUUUUAAAAUUGAUUGACUUGAGAGUUCAAUACUCCUUGUAUGCCUUGUGGAUGCCAUUUAGGAGUAAAUUUUUCAAAAGAUUGAUGUCUUACUUACAUUUGUGGUCCACAUCAUCUUGAUUUUGUGAUUAUUUUGAGAUUCACUCUAUGAUUCUACACUAACACAGGUGCACACUAGCAUUCAUUUGUGGGGUACAUGCUUUAUUGAUUAUUGAAUUGGUUAUAUCCCAAUUGAGCUAGUAGUGCAUUGAAAGCUUUCAUUUUGAUAAAGGUGGAUAACAAACCCUUUUCAUUGAGUAACUGGGAUUCUAGCCUCAUCAAGCACUGAAUUUCUCGCGCCAAAAGAUGGAGGGCCCAAACUCUAGGCUAAUAACUUGAAAAAAAAAAAAAACAAAAAAAAACAAAACAAAAAGUUGUUGCAAAAGCAAAUAAAAAGUGAGGACUUCUCCCAAAAGGUGAAAAGUGGGAAAUGAUUAGAUGGAAGUUGUUUUGAUUUGUAUCCUAGUUGAUUUGAGCUUGCAAGUCCUUAGGGGUAUUUUAACAUCUAAUGUCCUAAAGCCAUCUGGUUUAGGAGUCAUUGACCUAACACUCAACCUCAUAAAUCGCUAUAAAGCUUAAUAGAUCAACACAUAGCACUAUGCUUCCAUCUUUGAUCCUUAGGGAUAAUAAAUAAAUAAAUAAAAUAAAAACUAAAAUCGAGUGAAAAUAAUAAGCGCACCUAAAUCAAUAAAGUUUUAAUAAAAGGUCCACUUUUUGUCUUGAUGAUCUGUACUAAAUUUGUGUGCUAGUUUGAGGGUAAGGAUAUGAUCAUUUCUUUAGUUGGCUUAGAUAGCAACAUACUUGAUGUCGAUCCACUCAAAAAGGAUUCUAGAGUUGUUUUGAUUUGCAUGAUCAUUUUCUUAAUGUAUGGAGGACCAUACUUGUUUGUUUGAUAUUGAAAUUUUGGGAGAUUGCUUGGAAAUGGUUGAAAAAUUAUAUACUUGAGGUAGUUUUCUCUCAAUACUUGUUUGGAAUAUUGGUGCCUCUUUUAUAAGAAUGAGCUUAAUGUUUGUGAGUAUCAUUUCUGGAAACCCUCAAGAGACUUCACUCGUCCACUAGGGGAAACCUAUAGGUUUAAAAGGUUUGUUGCAUACACUAAAUGCAAUUGUGUUCCCUACGAAAGUGGUGUUAUCUAUUUAUUGCUUUCUAGAUUCAUAGUUGUAUAGUUGUUCAUUUCAUUCCUUUACUUUGUAGUUCAUUGCUAGGGACUAGCAAUAUUUAAGUUUGGGGGUGUGAUGAGCGCUGAAAAGUGCGCUUUUAAACUCCUUAAGCUUAAGUAUUCUAGAACCUUUAUCUAUCUUAUUUUUCCGUUUUAGACUAAUUUCAUGUUAUUUGCUUUUUUAGGUCAAUAAUGUUAAAACGAGCUAAAAAUGAAUUCUUAAGGCCUCUUUGGAGUCAAACUAAGUCUUGGUGAGAAUCUAAAGCAAAUGAAGGCUGAUCUGAAGUAAAAGGAGAAUGAUGCUGAAAAUCUGCCAAGUCUGAUCGAUCGAACCCAGAUUGAUCGAAUUCCUGAUCAAUCACACCAAGAUUGAUCGAACCCUGAUCAAUCGAAGAAAAGUUUGAUCGAUCGAACUGUUCGCGAAAGUUAUUAAAAAGCAUAUCUGAAGCUCAUUUCGAACCUUGAAAGAUAAGAUUCUAUGGCCAAGUUCUCACAUUUUUGGGCUCUCAAAGCCUUGUAUAUAUGAUAGAUUGAACCAUUUUUAUAUUGAGAUCUAUAUUUUUACAUUGUAAUUUCUAUAUUGUUGUAACUUUCCCUCUCUAGAAAAUUAGAGAUUAAGGUUAAAAGAAAAGAGGGAAGUGGAGGCACACUCCAAGAACACAUCUCUAGAUCCACAUACUCUCUCUCUCUAAAGUUUCAAAGAAGAAGAAGAAGAAGAUGGAGUCAUGUUUGGAGCUUACCCUUGAGGGUUUCAUGACCACAUCCACCUCUUCCAUGAUUGGCUAGAUUUACACUUAAGGCUUGGAUGAACCCUAAGUCUUGUGUAAUCUAAACCCUUGUAUUUCUAUUUUUGGGGAUUUAUAUAUAUAUUGUUGUGGUUA